rnacentral:rRNA from 1 species
GACGAACGCUGGCGGCGUGCUUAACACAUGCAAGUCGAACGGAGUGGCGAACGGGUGAGUAACACGUGGGUGAUCUGCCUUGCACUUCGGGAUAAGCUUGGGAAACUGGGUCUAAUACCGGAUAGUGCCAGAUGAGCUCGCGGCCUAUUAGCUUGUUGGUGGGGUAAUGGCCUACCAGGGCGUCGGCGGGUAGCCGGCCUGAGAGGGUGUACGGGCACAUUGGGACUGAGAUACGGCCCAGAGUCCUACGGGAGGCAGGAGUGGGGAAGAUAGCAGAAUGGGCGGAAGCAUGGUGAAGCGACGCCGCGUGGGGGAUGAAGGCCUUCGGGUUGUAAACUACUUACGACAGGGACGCGGUACCUGUAUAAUAAGCACCGGCUAACUACGUGCCAGCAGCCGCGGUAAUAC